rnacentral:rRNA from 1 species
AUUGAACGCUGGCGGCAUGCCUUACACUUGCAAGUCGAACGGCAGCACGGGAGCAAUCCUGGUGGCGAGUGGCGAACGGGUGAGUAAAGUAUCGGAACGUGCCCAGUCGUGGGGGAUAACGUAGCGAAAGUUACGCUAAUACCGCAUACGAUCUAUGGAUGAAAGCGGGGGAUCGCAAGACCUCGCGCGAUUGGAGCGGCCGAUGUCAGAUUAGGUAGUUGGUGGGGUAAAGGCUCACCAAGCCGACGAUCUGUAGCUGGGCUGAGAGGACGACCAGCCACACGGGGACGGAGACACGGCACAGACUCCUACGGGAGGCAGCAGUGGGGAAUUUUGGACAAUGGGCGAAAGCCUGAUCCAGCCAUGCCGCGUGCAGGAUGAAGGCCUUCGGGUUGUAAACUGCUUUUGUACGGAACGAAAAGGUUUGGCCUAAUAAGCUGAGCUCAUGACGGUACCGUAAGAAUAAGCACCGGCUAACUACGUGCCAGCCGCCGCCGUAA